CCCUCCUCUAAAAACAAGCAGCAAGAAGAAACAACGGAGUUUUGUGACAGCACCCCUACAUAUUGCACGUUCAGAGGAACGGCAGGAGCUAGCCUGACAAGUCUGCCGUGGGAUUAUACAGACUGUAUCAGUCGAUGGACAGAGUUCUUGUGAAUGAGCUAAACUGCUUAUCCAAAUAUUUUUAAUGGGAACUUCUUAUAAAGGUAAAACGUCUUGGAGCAGCGAUCUGAACUGGCCCAUGGCUUACCACUUCAUGGUUUUGUAUGCAUGAAGCAUGUUGUCAACCAGCGGCACAUAGUUUGGUGCUCUGUAGUUGUCAAGAAAAUUCUCAACAACAUCCUUGGAUGUCUUCCAUGUGAUUUUCUCCAGUCCCAUUAGAAGUUCUUCAAAUUGCCUGCCAUAGAUGACCUGUUUGAUUUGUGGACCAACAAAAAUUCCUAUCUUAAUCUUGGCAUCAGUUAUUUGGACUUGAAUUAUGAAUUGAAAUAACAAAUAUAGACAAUUUUUAAAUGGUGUGUGAUAGUAAAAUUUCAUUGUGAUUUCAUGAUCUGCAGUCAUAAGAUAUAACUAAAGGUAUUCAGGAAGCAAAAUCUUUGUUGUCUGGUAUUAUCUAUGAAUUGUACACUUGGCACUCUUAAAGCUAUCAGGAACUCUGAGAUUUGAGAGAUUGCCAACCACUUUCAAAAUAACUGAUAGCUGCAUGCAGAAAUGAACAAUCGGAAUCUGAAAUAGUUUCACUGUUACUAGCAAUACAGAUGGGGGUCAUAGCUUGCAAUAUUUAACUCAUUUUAGGCUUGGAAUAGGAUUCUAAUUAUUGCUUCUUCCUUUUGUUAAAGCGGCCCUUACCUUUGUAAAGAUAAAACAAAAGAAAUGCUUCAUUUUUAUCUUAGUGUUAAUGUCACGUUUUCAAAUGAAUAAGCUGCAGCAAACUACAGAUUGAUUGUAUCUCAAAAUAAACCCUUGUAUUGUGAUGUUACAAGAUAGAAAUUGAUUGAUACCUUCAGAUGAAGUUGUAAACAAUAACAGUUGACCCGUAUACAGUGUGGUGGAUAUUAUAUUAAAAAAACCUAAGAUUCUGCUAUUGCUAACUAGCCUGGCAUUAAUUACCCUUUCAUAUUUGCUCUCAAAUAGAACUGCUAUGUGUUAAUACAAAACCAGAGCCAAUCACAUUUUUGUUGUACUGGAAAUAAACAAAACCAUCAGGUUUUCUUCCUUUAACAUAGAACACUACAGCUCAGGAUGGGCCCCAUGGCUCAUGAUGUUAUGCAGACCUUUUAACUUCCUCCAUGACCAAUCUAAUCCUCUUCAUAUAGUCCAGAAUUCUCCAUUUCCUUCUUUCUCCAUGUGCUAUCAAAUAUCCUUAAUGUAUCAACCUCUAGCGAGGUAUUCCACGCAGUUACCACUGUGUGUGUGUGUGUGUGUGUGUAAAAACCUCUGACAUCUUCCCUGAACUUCUACCACUCGUCUUAAAAGGAUGUCAUUUGGUAUUAGCCAUUGCCACCCUGGCUACUCUAUCUAAGCAUGUUCUCCAAUCUUAGUAAAUCUGCUCUGUGCCUUCCCUAAAGCUUCCUAUUAUGAGAUGACUGGAACUGAACACUAAGUGUGACUUAAACAGAGUUACAGAGCUGCAAUAUUACCUCACAAUUCUUGAACUCAAUCCCAGGAUUAAUGAAGGCCAACACACCAUAAACCUUUGUAACCACUCUAUCAAUGCACAACAUUUUUGAGGGAACUAUGGACUUGGAUUACAAGGUCCCUCUAUUUUGCUACACUGUUAAGGAUUCCACUGUAACCUUGUACUCCACCUUCAAAUUUGGCUUUCCAAUGUGAAUUAUUUCACACUUUUCUGGAUUGAACUCCAUAUGCCAGUUUUCAGCUCAGUUCUGCAUCCUGUUCAUAGCCUUUUGUAACCAACAACAAGCUUCUAUACUAUCCAAACACCACCAACCUUCGCAUCGUUAAGGUCAGGACUAAAUCAGUUGACAGCACAAUAACUUCAUGGUCAGUCAUUUUUGUGGAACUCAACUUUUUGCAAAAUCUUUAUAAGCCUGUUCAAGGUCUUAAAAAGCUGUAGUGGAAUUUUCACUUGCAUAUUAGUCUGGUAAUAUGCAACAAUACCCCAUGAGAUAAAAUGCUGUAAAGCAUCCUGGCUAUAUAAGAGCAUUGAUAAUUAAAUAAUAACAUUUGCAACACAUUAGAGUAAAAGCAGGAAUGUGCUUCAGACGAAGGUUUUGUUGACAGUGAAAUUUGAUGACUUAAGCAAUCCAAUUUUUUUUAUUAAACAAAAUAUACUUUAUUCAAAAAUAAAAUUAUGUACAUUAAACCAAUCAAUGUCACUCAAUCCUUUACAAAUGUUUCCAAUACGGUCUUUACAUUUCCACACUUUUAGCCAUCCAAGUGGCACUCUGUUGUUUCAUAUUUACAUACCCUUGUUGAGGGGUAUAUGGCACUCUGUUGUUUCAUAUUUACAUACCCUUAUUGAGGGGUAUACACCCCGCCACCCUACCCCUCAACUCCCGCAGGAGAAGAACUCUAAACUGUGGUCCUUCCCCAUCGGCCCUUGCGGUGACUGCACCAAUUUUCAAUGCGUCCCUCAGCACGUACUCCUGCAGCCGAGAAUGUGCCAGUCAGCAGCAUUCUCCCACGGACAUCUCCAUCUGCUGGUAACCAUCAGGUUUCGGGCCGGCCAAAGAGCGUUUUUUACUGAGUUGAUGAUCUGCCAGCAGCAAUGGAUGUUGGUCUCCAUGUGUCCCCAGGAACAGCCCGUAGAUCAGAGAGUCCUCUGUUACGCUUAAGCAAUCCAAUAGAUUAAGAAGAGACACUUUGAAACAUAGAGAAGUUUGCUAGGCCUGUUCAGAUGGCAGGUAAGAAUGUAGAGCAGCAGCCACAUGAAAGUGUAAGUGUGGUGGCUCAGAUGAUUAUACUGUAUUUUGCGAAGGUACUUUUAAAUUAGUUAUAAUAUUACAC